rnacentral:piRNA from 1 species
UCUAUGUUGAUGAGAAGGCAGGGGUGGC